UGGGUCCAACUGUUCAACAAU
rnacentral:piRNA from 1 species